GAUGAACGCUGGCGGCGUGCCUAAUACAUGCAAGUCGAGCGAACAGACGAGGAGCUUGCUCCUUUGACGUUAGCGGCGGACGGGUGAGUAACACGUGGAUAACCUACCUAUAAGACUGGGAUAACUUCGGGAAACCGGAGCUAAUACCGGAUAACAUGUUGAACCGCAUGGUUCAACAGUGAAAGACGGUCUUGCUGUCACUUAUAGAUGGAUCCGCGCCGCAUUAGCUAGUUGGUAAGGUAACGGCUUACCAAGGCAACGAUGCGUAGCCGACCUGAGAGGGUGAUCGGCCACACUGGAACUGAGACACGGUCCAGACUCCUACGGGAGGCAGCAGUAGGGAAUCUUCCGCGAUGGGCGAAAGCCUGACGGAGCAACGCCGCGUGAGUGAAGAAGGUCUUCGGAUCGUAAAACUCUGUUAUUAGGGAAGAACAAAUGUGUAAGUAACUAUGCACGUCUUGACGGUACCUAAUCAGAAAGCCACGGCUAACUACGUG
rnacentral:rRNA from 1 species